rnacentral:rRNA from 1 species
CCUACGGGAGGCAGCAGUGAGGAAUAUUGGUCAAUGGACGAGAGUCUGAACCAGCCAAGUAGCGUGAAGGAUGACUGCCCUAUGGGUUGUAAACUUCUUUUAUAAAGGAAUAAAACGAGGCACGUGUGCCUUUUUGCAUGUACUUUAUGAAUAAGGAUCGGCUAACUCCGUUCCAGCAGCCGCGGUAAUACGGAGGAUCCGAGCGUUACCCGGAUUUGUUGGGUUUAAAGGGAGCGUAGAUGGGUUGUUAAGUCAGUUGUGAAAGUUUGCGGCUCAACCGUAAAAUUGCAAUGGAUACUGGCAGUCUUGAGUACAGUUGAGGUAGGCGGAAUUCGUGGUGUAGCGGUGAAAUGCUUAGAUAUCACGAAGAACCCCGAUUGCGAAGGCAGCUUACUAAACUGUGACUGACAUUGAUGCUCGAAAGUGUGGGUAUCAAACAGGAUUAGAUACCCCAGUAGUC